rnacentral:rRNA from 1 species
GACGAACGCUGGCGGCGUGCUUAACACAUGCAAGUCGAACGGAAAGGCCCUGCUUUUGUGGGGUGCUCGAGUGGCGAACGGGUGAGUAACACGUGAGUAACCUGCCCUUGACUUUGGGAUAACUUCAGGAAACUGGGGCUAAUACCGGAUAGGAGCUCCUGCUGCAUGGUGGGGGUUGGAAAGUUUCGGCGGUUGGGGAUGGACUCGCGGCUUAUCAGCUUGUUGGUGGGGUAGUGGCUUACCAAGGCAUUGACGGGUAGCCGGCCUGAGAGGGUGACCGGCGACAUUGGGACUGAGAUACGGCCCAGACUCCUACGGGAGGCAGCAGUGGGGAAUAUUGCACAACGGGCGGAAGCCUGAUGCAGCAACGCCGCGUGCGGGAUGACGGCCUUCGGGUUGUAAACCGCUUUCGCCUGUGACGAAGCGGGAGUGACGGUAAUGGGUAAAGAAGCACCGGCUAACUACGUG